GCAAACUUGGUCAUUUAGAGGAAGUAAAAGUCGUAACAAGGUUUCCGUAGGUGAACCUGCGGAAGGAUCAUUACAAAUCGUUGGGAGAGGAGGUGGGACUUGGGGCAACCUCUGUUAGGGGCAACCUCUGUUAGGGGUGACCUCUGUUAGGGGCAACCUCUGUUAGGGGUGACCUCUGUUAGGGGCAACCUCUGUUAGGGGUGACCUCUGCCAGCCUCUCUCUCCACAUGUGUGCGGGGUCGCAAGACCCUGUGACAUUUGCGCUUGUCCUGUUUGUCAGAGUAGCGAUCAUCUCAAUGUGACAACUUUUAACAAUGGAUCUCUUGGCUCUUGCAUCGAUGAAGAACGCAGC
rnacentral:misc_RNA from 1 species